rnacentral:ncRNA from 1 species
UAAUAAUAUAGGACUCUGUAUUUGGAGACCCUGUAAUUGGAGGGAGUCCACUUUAAAUCGUUUAAUGAGAAUGCAUUGGAGGGCAAGUCUGGCGCCAGAAGCAUCAGUAAUUCUAGGUCUAU